rnacentral:lncRNA from 1 species
CCGCAUGCUAUCGCACCACAUCUUCACUUUGGACUUGUAAAGUUCAAUAAGAUGCUUGCAUAGUAAGAUCAUACAAAAUAAUAGCUCUGCCUCUUUGCAAGUAAUAUAUUGAACAAAUUUAAUAAUUGAUUUCACCUGAUUAUAAUUGUUAUUGAAUACUCCAACAAUUAGGGUUCUAAUGGUCGUAUCCAUGGUGGCCAUGUCCAUAUCAAUCUCUCUCUCUCGAUCCCCAUACCGAUAGCAAAUAGAAUCACAGAAAGUACUACCGACUAGAUCUACACCUAGAUGAUUCUAGGAAGCUAACAAUGGUAUGAGAGCAACCUAGGGUAGUGGAUCUGCUCGGGUAGAAAAGAAAAAGAAGAAAAUCAAAAGAAAAGGAAAACCCUAACCCUAACUCCUUACCCGAAAGUGAAGAGGAAUCGCCUGCCGCCGGUCGUUGUCGUCAUGGGGUCGCCUGCAGGGAAAGGGCGCUGCCGAUGAGCCACUUGACGGCGACGCGCGCACCAUCGGGUGCACGUGCGUGCCGUUAAGGGGGCCAAGGACGGCGCCGCCAUCAAAGGAAAAGGAGGGGAGGAAGGGUGGAGGGAC